CCUAGAGGUGUCAGAAAAGUUACCACA
rnacentral:misc_RNA from 1 species